rnacentral:rRNA from 1 species
AUUGAACGCUGGCGGCAGGCCUAACACAUGCAAGUCGAGCGAGCGGCGGACGGGUGAGUAAUGUAUGGGGAUCUGCCCGAUCGAGGGGGAUAACUACUGGAAACGGUGGCUAAUACCGCAUACUAUCAGAUGAACCCAUAUGGGAUUAGCUAGUUGGUGGGGUAACGGCUCACCUCGGCGACGAUCCCUUGCUGGUCUGAGAGGAUGAUCAGCCACACGGGAACUGAGACACGGCCCAGACUACUCCGGGAGGCAGCAGGGGGGAAGAUUGCACAAUGGGAGCAAGCCUGAUGCAGCCAUGCCGCGUGGAGGAAGAAGGCCUUAGGGUUGUAAAGUACUUUCAGCGGGGAGGAGUUACCCGCAGAAGAAGCACCGGCUAACUCCGUGCCAGCAGCCGCGGUAAUUC